rnacentral:rRNA from 1 species
AUUGAACGCUGGCGGCAGGCUUAACACAUGCAAGUCGAGCGGAGUUGUGGUGCUUGCACCAUAACUUAGCGGCGGACGGGUGAGUAAUGCUUAGGAAUCUGCCAUUUAGUGGGGGACAACAUUCCGAAAGGAAUGCUAAUACCGCAUACGUCCUACGAGAGAAAGCAGGGGAUCUCCGGACCUUGCGCUAAAUGAUGAGCCUAAGUCGGAUUAGCGAGUUGGUGGGGUAAAGGCCUACCAAGGCGACGAUCUGUAGCGGGCCUGAGAGGAUGAUCCGCCACACUGGGACUGAGACACGGCCCAGACUCCUACGGGAGGCAGCAGUGGGGAAUAUUGGACAAUGGGCGGAAGCCUGAUCCAGCCAUGCCGCGUGUGUGAAGAAGGCCUUUUGGUUGUAAAGCACUUUAAGCGAGGAGGAGGCUCUUCUAGUUAAUACCUAGGAUGAGUGGACGUUACUCGCAGAAUAAGCACCGGCUAACUCUGUGCCAGCAGCCGCCGUAAGAC